UUAAGCGACUAAGCGUACACGGUGGAUGCCCUGGCAGUCAGAGGCGAUGAAGGACGUGCUAAUCUGCGAAAAGCGUCGGUAAGGUGAUAUGAACCGUUAUAACCGGCGAUGUCCGAAUGGGGAAACCCAGUGUGUUCCGACACACUAUCAUUAACUGAAUCCAUAGGUUAAUGAGGCGAACCGGGGGAACUGAAACAUCUAAGUACCCCGAGGAAAAGAAAUCAACCGAGAUUCCCCCAGUAGCGGCGAGCGAACGGGGAGGAGCCCAGAGCCUGAAUCAGUGUGUGUGUUAGUGGAAGCGUCUGGAAAGGCGCGCGAUACAGGGUGACAGCCCCGUACACAAAAAUGCACAUGCUGUGAGCUCGAUGAGUAGGGCGGGACACGUGGUAUCCUGUCUGAAUAUGGGGGGACCAUCCUCCAAGGCUAAAUACUCCUGACUGACCGAUAGUGAACCAGUACCGUGAGGGAAAGGCGAAAAGAACCCCGGCGAGGGGAGUGAAAAAGAACCUGAAACCGUGUACGUACAAGCAGUGGGAGCCCUGAUUUAUCAGGGUGACUGCGUACCUUUUGUAUAAUGGGUCAGCGACUUAUAUUCUGUAGCAAGGUUAACCGAAUAGGGGAGCCGGAGGGAAACCGAGUCUUAACUGGGCGUUAAGUUGCAGGGUAUAGACCCGAAACCCGGUGAUCUAGCCAUGGGCAGGUUGAAGGUUGGGUAACACUAACUGGAGGACCGAACCGACUAAUGUUGAAAAAUUAGCGGAUGACUUGUGGCUGGGGGUGAAAGGCCAAUCAAACCGGGAGAUAGCUGGUUCUCCCCGAAAGCUAUUUAGGUAGCGCCUCGUGAAUUCAUCUCCGGGGGUAGAGCACUGUUUCGGCAAGGGGGUCAUCCCGACUUACCAACCCGAUGCAAACUGCGAAUACCGGAGAAUGUUAUCACGGGAGACACACGGCGGGUGCUAACGUCCGUCGUGAAGAGGGAAACAACCCAGACCGCCAGCUAAGGUCCCAAAGUCAUGGUUAAGUGGGAAACGAUGUGGGAAGGCCCAGACAGCCAGGAUGUUGGCUUAGAAGCAGCCAUCAUUUAAAGAAAGCGUAAUAGCUCACUGGUCGAGUCGGCCUGCGCGGAAGAUGUAACGGGGCUAAACCAUGCACCGAAGCUGCGGCAGCGACGCUGAUGCGUUGUUGGGUAGGGGAGCGUUCUGUAAGCCUGUGAAGGUGUGCUGUGAGGCAUGCUGGAGGUAUCAGAAGUGCGAAUGCUGACAUAAGUAACGAUAAAGCGGGUGAAAAGCCCGCUCGCCGGAAGACCAAGGGUUCCUGUCCAACGUUAAUCGGGGCAGGGUGAGUCGACCCCUAAGGCGAGGCCGAAAGGCGUAGUCGAUGGGAAACAGGUUAAUAUUCCUGUACUUGGUGUUACUGCGAAGGGGGACGGAGAAGGCUAUGUUGGCCGGGCGACGGUUGUCCCGGUUUAAGCGUGUAGGCUGAUUUUCCAGGCAAAUCCGGAGAAUCAAGGCUGAGGCGUGAUGACGAGGCACUACGGUGCUGAAGCAACAAAUGCCCUGCUUCCAGGAAAAGCCUCUAAGCAUCAGGUAACAUCAAAUCGUACCCCAAACCGACACAGGUGGUCAGGUAGAGAAUACCAAGGCGCUUGAGAGAACUCGGGUGAAGGAACUAGGCAAAAUGGUGCCGUAACUUCGGGAGAAGGCACGCUGAUAUGUAGGUGAAGCGACUUGCUCGUGGAGCUGAAAUCAGUCGAAGAUACCAGCUGGCUGCAACUGUUUAUUAAAAACACAGCACUGUGCAAACACGAAAGUGGACGUAUACGGUGUGACGCCUGCCCGGUGCCGGAAGGUUAAUUGAUGGGGUCAGCGCAAGCGAAGCUCUUGAUCGAAGCCCCGGUAAACGGCGGCCGUAACUAUAACGGUCCUAAGGUAGCGAAAUUCCUUGUCGGGUAAGUUCCGACCUGCACGAAUGGCGUAAUGAUGGCCAGGCUGUCUCCACCCGAGACUCAGUGAAAUUGAACUCGCUGUGAAGAUGCAGUGUACCCGCGGCAAGACGGAAAGACCCCGUGAACCUUUACUAUAGCUUGACACUGAACACUGGUCCUUGAUGUGUAGGAUAGGUGGGAGGCUUUGAAGUGUGGACGCCAGUCUGCAUGGAGCCGUCCUUGAAAUACCACCCUUUAAUGGCUGGUGUUCUAACGUUGGCCCGUAAUCCGGGUUGCGGACAGUGUCUGGUGGGUAGUUUGACUGGGGCGGUCUCCUCCUAAAGAGUAACGGAGGAGCACGAAGGUUGGCUAAUCCUGGUCGGACAUCAGGAGGUUAGUGCAAUGGCAUAAGCCAGCUUGACUGCGAGCGUGACGGCGCGAGCAGGUGCGAAAGCAGGUCAUAGUGAUCCGGUGGUUCUGAAUGGAAGGGCCAUCGCUCAACGGAUAAAAGGUACUCCGGGGAUAACAGGCUGAUACCGCCCAAGAGUUCAUAUCGACGGCGGUGUUUGGCACCUCGAUGUCGGCUCAUCACAUCCUGGGGCUGAAGUAGGUCCCAAGGGUAUGGCUGUUCGCCAUUUAAAGUGGUACGCGAGCUGGGUUUAGAACGUCGUGAGACAGUUCGGUCCCUAUCUGCCGUGGGCGCUGGAGAACUGAGGGGGGCUGCUCCUAGUACGAGAGGACCGGAGUGGACGCAUCACUGGUGUUCGGGUUGUCAUGCCAAUGGCACUGCCCGGUAGCUAAAUGCGGAAGAGAUAAGUGCUGAAAGCAUCUAAGCACGAAACUUGCCCCGAGAUGAGUUCUCCCUGAGACUUUAAGUCUCCUGAAGGAACGUUGAAGACGACGACGUUGAUAGGCCGGGUGUGUAAGCGCAGCGAUGCGUUGAGCUAACCGGUACUAAUGAACCGUGAGGCUUAACCUU
rnacentral:rRNA from 1 species